rnacentral:rRNA from 1 species
UACGUAGGUGACAAGCGUUAUCCGGAAUUACUGGGCGUAAAGCGCACGCAGGCGGCGCGGUAAGUCUGAUGUGAAAUCUCCCGGCUUAACUGGGGAGGGGUCAUUGGAAACUGCCGAGCUUGAGGCGAUGAGAGGGGUGUAGAAUUCCCGGUGUAGUGGUGGAAUGCGUAGAUAUCGGAGGAAUACCAGUGGCGAAAGCGGCACCCUGGCAUUAGCCUGACGCUCAUGUGCGAAGGCGUGGGGAGCGAACGGG